UUAACGGGAGGCAGCAGUAGGGAAUCUUCCGCAAUGGACGAAAGUCUGACGGAGCAACGCCGCGUGAGUGAUGAAGGUUUUCGGAUCGUAAAACUCUGUUGUUAGGGAAGAACAAGUACCGUUCGGAUAGGGCGGUACCUUGACGGUACCUAACCAGAAAGCCACAGCUAACUACGUGCCAGCAGCCGCGGUAAU
rnacentral:rRNA from 1 species